GACGAACCGUGCGAACGUUAUUCGGAAUCACUGGGCUUAAAGCGCGUGUAGGCGGGCCGCCGCGUCGGCUGCUGAAAUCCCCCGGCUCAACCGGGGAACGGGCACCGAUACGGGCGGCCUCGAGGGGGUAGGGGGGUCUGGAACUUCCGGUGGAGCGGUGAAAUGCGUUGAGAUCGGAAGGAACGCCCGUGGCGAAAGCGAGGCCCUGGACCCUUACUGACGCUGAGACGCGAAAGCCAGGGGAGCGAACGGG
rnacentral:rRNA from 1 species